AGCUCGAGAUAAAACACGGACCAUCCAUCCAUUCAUUACAAGUUUCGGUCAGCGUCGUUGUCUGUCUGUCUGUCUCCAUGGCUGUUGCUCUCCAGUUCGGUCGAUUAUGCGUGCGCCCGGAUACUUUCGCACUCGAGAACCAUCUCUCCGGACCUUUCCGGCGCCAGAAAACUUUUUCAGUCCGGUGCUCUUCUGGAAAUGAGGACGUUCAUUUCCCAUCGACGGACUCCGAUUUUGACGCCAAGACGUUCCGCAAGAACUUAACGAGAAGCGAGAAUUACAAUCGUAAAGGGUUCGGUCAUAAAGAGGAGACACUCAAGCUCAUGAAUCGAGAGUACACCAGUGAUAUAUUGGAGACGCUGAAAACAAAUGGAUACACAUACUCUUGGGGAGAUGUUACCGUAAAGCUAGCUAAAGCAUAUGGCUUUUGCUGGGGCGUUGAGCGUGCUGUUCAGAUUGCUUACGAAGCAAGAAAGCAGUUUCCUGACGAAAGGCUUUGGAUUACUAACGAAAUCAUUCAUAACCCCACCGUCAACAAGAGGUUAGAAGAAAUGGAUGUUAAGAUUAUUCCUGUUGAGGAUACAAAGAAGCAGUUUGAUGUGGUGGACAAAGACGAUGUGGUUAUCCUUCCUGCCUUUGGAGCUGGUGUUGAUGAGAUGUUUGUUCUCAAUGAUAAAAAGGUUCAGAUCGUUGACACCACUUGUCCUUGGGUCACAAAGGUGUGGAACAUGGUUGAGAAGCACAAGAAGGGGGAGUACACGUCGAUAAUUCACGGUAAAUAUAAUCAUGAAGAGACCAUUGCUACUGCUUCUUUUGCUGGAAAGUAUAUCAUUGUCAAGAACAUGAAAGAGGCGAACUACGUUUGUGAUUACAUUCUUGGGGGUGAACUAGAUGGAUCUAGCUCCACAAAAGAGGACUUCAUGGAGAAAUUCAAGUAUGCUGUUUCAAAGGGUUUUGACCCUGACAAUGACCUUAUCAAAGUCGGUAUCGCAAACCAAACAACGAUGCUCAAGGGAGAAACUGAGGAGAUUGGAAAGUUAAUUGAGAGGACAAUGAUGCGCAAGUAUGGAGUUGAAAACGUAAACGGACAUUUCAUCAGCUUCAACACCAUUUGCGAGGCUACUCAAGAGAGACAAGAUGCAAUCUAUGAGUUGGUGGAAGAGAAGAUUGACCUCAUGCUAGUGGUUGGUGGGUGGAACUCAAGCAACACUUCUCACCUUCAGGAGAUCUCAGAGGUCCGUGGAAUCCCUUCUUACUGGAUAGACAGUGAGCAACGGAUAGGACCUGGGAACAAAAUAGCCUACAAGCUCCACUACGGAGAGCUGGUGGAGAAGGAGAAUUUUCUUCCAAAGGGGCCAAUAACCAUCGGUGUGACAUCAGGUGCAUCAACCCCUGACAAGGUCGUGGAAGAUGUUUUGGUGAAGGUGUUCGACAUUAAACGAGAAGAGUUGUUGCAGGUUGCUUGAUCCAGUCUUUGUGAUUGUAUUCAGACAUGUUCUUUAUCUCAAAUAGUGUGUGUGUGCUAAAGUUCAAUAAUCCCCUAUUCAUCCUUGCUUCAUUAAAUGUUCUUCCACCACAGUUAAACUUAUACUCAUGUCAUCUUCAUGUUCAAACAUUUAAAUUUAGAGAUGAAUUGGGGAAAUGAGCUAGCAAAAUAUCUGAUUUUCUAAAAGAAAAAUAGACUAAUUUUGUUUUUUUUACAUCAAAAAAAUUGCUCUAUUAUAU